rfam:Bosea sp. RAC05, complete genome.
CGGUGGUACCGGGCCCCUCUGGCGGAGCAUGUCUGGAUGACGUGGCCGCGAUGUCGGAACCGCCUU